GUGUGCGCCUGAGGCUGUUGGCUGCGGUCUUGAAACGGGCUCUGGGAGCUUCCUCUGCGCGGUCGGCCCUGGCUGAGGCGUCCCGGGCUGCGCGCGGGGCUCGGCGCUGCGCAGUGUCCGGUGUCCUCUCGGUCCGGAGCUUCUCCAGAGGAGGAGCGGCUCGUGCGCCCCCAGACCUCCGGUACUGGGAGACUCGGGCCCUCCUGUAAGAGACCUGAGCGCGGAGCGUUAUGGGCACCCGGUGAAUGAGCAAAUGGCAGGGAAAACCGUGCAGCCCCAUGGACUGCGGGCUCUUCCUUCACGACUAGCAAAAGCUUUGACACCCUUUCUCCUGCGUACGCGUGUCUGUGUGCGUGAAAACACAAUAUGUCACCUCCAAAUAUAUUUCCUUGACACGGUUCAAGACAGUUACUCAGAAGGACUGGAAAUAGAAGAAUAGCUGAAAAGCUGUCUUUUGUGGGGGAGAUUUGCAUCUGUGGAGAGAAUCUACACUGAUGCGGCCAGGCCUCCUCUGAGGCCCUCCUUGCCUGAUCUGGGAAGAGUAACAGUCUGACGCCUUUAAAGGCCUGAAGGGAACAUUCACCAUCUGUUCUCUCUCAGGGCUGCUACCUGUGAGGUUUCAUCUGUAGAACAAGGCCACCUUUGCUAGCCAGGCCUCCUCUGCUCUCCCUCCUGUAACCGGUCUUGCCACUGGUCACCUGAUUUUCCACCAUAAACUGUGGCCAUACUUUGAGCCCAUGUUCUUUCUGUAACCUCAAGAUGGUAUAUAAGCUUCCGAACCCCAUUGGGAGGUUGGGGUCAUCACUCUGGUUCUCCCUGUGUGCAUGAAUAAAUCUGUAUGCCUUUUUUCUUACUAACCUGGCUUUUGUCAGUUGAUUUUCUGUGAACUCAGAAUGCAGAAAAGUUUUUCUCUAGGCUCCUACAGUUUUGGUGCAGUCGGUAGGAUAACUAAAGUCACUCUCCUGGGAGCCUCCGUCAGGGGAACCCAGGAGCCGACAAGCUGGCAGAAAGAAGGGUAAGAAGGUCUUAGCAGCCAGGCUCCCGGCCUCUCUGGAAUCUUGUCAAGCCGACGGUAAAAAUGUCUGUUUACCUUGUUUUCCUCUUCAAAGUUUUAAUGAGAGAAAUGUAUUUAUGUGAUUAGUUUUGUAUUCAUAUUGUUUGAUUGCUUU
rnacentral:lncRNA from 1 species